rnacentral:rRNA from 1 species
GCAUGGAUUAGGCAUGCAAGUCGCGCGACAAGGCCCUUUUAGCUUGCUAAAAGGGCUGGAGGAGCGGCGUAAGGGGGAGUAACGCGUGGAUCACCUACCCUCAGGGGCGGGAUAGCGGCGGGAAACUGCCGGUAAUACCGCAUAACAUCUCCGGAUCAAAGCUCCGGCGCCUGGGGACGGGUCCGCGUACCAUUAGCUUUUUGGCGGGGUAAAAGCCCACCAAGGCUGAGAUGGUUAGUGGGCGUGAGAGCGUGGCCCACCACACUGGGACUGAGACACUGCCCAGACACCUACGGGGGGCUGCAGUCGAGAAUCUUUUUCAAUGGACGAAAGUCUGAACAAGCGAUGCCGCGUGCGGGAUGAAGGCCUUCGGGUUUUAAACCGCUGUCAGAGGGGAGCAAAUUUUGAGCGAUCCUCAGAGGAAGCCCGGGCUAAGUUCGUGCCAGCAGCCGCGGUAACACGAACCGGGCGAACGUUAUUCGGAAUUACUGGGCUUAAAGGGGGCGUAGGCGGCGCUAUAAGUCGGGGGUGAAAUCCCACGGCUCAACCGUGGAACUGCGCCCGAUACUGUAGUGCUUGAGGAAGAUAGAGGGGAGCGGAACGAAUGGGGGAGCGGGGAAAUGCGUUGAUAUCAUUCGGAACACCCGUGGCGAAAGCGGCUCACUGGGUCUUUUUUGACGCUGAGGCACGAAAGCUAAAA